ACACACCCAGGCUCUUUUCUGUUUGCCUGAUGCCUUCAUGCUGGUGCUAUUUGCUGUAUUUUCAGACUGAUACAAUUUCUUCAAGGCCGAUAUUCAGGUAGAGUUAGCAAAAGCUGCCAGUGAAGGAUCUCUGAAGCCAUUUUUUGGUGUGUGUCUGUUUUCCUGGGUGCAUGGAGGCUGCAUGGCAUUGUGUGCUGGAAAAGGCUCAGGAAGGCGCUUUUCCUGGCUCACUUUCCCUGUGCCUUCCGUCUUCCUGGUGUGGUGUGAUGUGAUGUCAACGCACCCGCCAUCACAUCUAUGUUUGUGGGAACAGGCAAAGAACACUCUCGAAGGGUCUUUUAAGGACGUUUCCCUGGAAGCUGUCCAGCAACACUUCUCCUUGGUCACUGACCAGGGCCUAUUUUCAUGGCCUCUGGGAACUAAAAGGAAACUCGGAGUAAUGUGGUCUUCUUCCUCGACCUUGUGUCCAAACAUGGUGCUUAGAUUUCUAUGGAAGAAACGGACGGCGGAGUCCGCCAACAGUCUGGGCACUGCUAUUUUCUAAACAAUUGGGGGCUAAAUAAACAAAUAAAUAAAAGUCCAGAUCAAAA